rnacentral:rRNA from 1 species
UACGUAGGUGGCAAGCGUUGUCCGGAAUUACUGGGCGUAAAGGGUGCGUAGGCGGCUUUCUAAGUCGGAUGUGAAAACUCUGGGCUCAACCCAGAGCCUGCAUCUGAAACUGGAGAGCUAGGGUUUGGAGGGGAAAGCGGAAUUCCAGGUGUAGCGGUGAAAUGCGUAGAUAUCUGGAGGAACACCGGUGGCGAAGGUGGCUUUCUGGACAAAUACCGACGGCUGAGGCACGAAAGCUAGGGGAGCAAACAGG